GGUUAAGCGACUAAGCGUACACGGUGGAUGCCCUGGCAGUCAGAGGCGAUGAAGGGCGUGCUAAUCUGCGAUAAGCGCCGGUAAGGUGAUAUGAACCGUUAUAACCGGCGAUACCCGAAUGGGGAAACCCAGUGUGAUUCGUCACACUAUCAUUAACUGAAUCCAUAGGUUAAUGAGGCGAACCGGGGGAACUGAAACAUCUAAGUACCCCGAGGAAAAGAAAUCAACCGAGAUUCCCCCAGUAGCGGCGAGCGAACGGGGAGGAGCCCAGAGCCUGAAUCAGCAUGUGUGUUAGUGGAAGCGUCUGGAAAGUCGCGCGAUACAGGGUGACAGCCCCGUACACAAAAGCGCAUGUGUUGUGAGCUCGAUGAGUAGGGCGGGACACGUGGUAUCCUGUCUGAAUAUGGGGGGACCAUCCUCCAAGGCUAAAUACUCCUGACUGACCGAUAGUGAACCAGUACCGUGAGGGAAAGGCGAAAAGAACCCCGGCGAGGGGAGUGAAAAAGAACCUGAAACCGUGUACGUACAAGCAGUGGGAGCACCCUUCGGGGUGUGACUGCGUACCUUUUGUAUAAUGGGUCAGCGACUUAUAUUCUGUAGCAAGGUUAACCGUAUAGGGGAGCCGGAGGGAAACCGAGUCUUAAUUGGGCGUUAAGUUGCAGGGUAUAGACCCGAAACCCGGUGAUCUAGCCAUGGGCAGGUUGAAGGUUGGGUAACACUAACUGGAGGACCGAACCGACUAAUGUUGAAAAAUUAGCGGAUGACCUGUGGCUGGGGGUGAAAGGCCAAUCAAACCGGGAGAUAGCUGGUUCUCCCCGAAAGCUAUUUAGGUAGCGCCUCGUGAAUUCAUCUCCGGGGGUAGAGCACUGUUUCGGCUAGGGGGCCAUCCCGGCUUACCAACCCGAUGCAAACUGCGAAUACCGGAGAAUGCUAUCACGGGAGACACACGGCGGGUGCUAACGUCCGUCGUGAAGAGGGAAACAACCCAGACCGCCAGCUAAGGUCCCAAAGUCAUGGUUAAGUGGGAAACGAUGUGGGAAGGCCCAGACAGCCAGGAUGUUGGCUUAGAAGCAGCCAUCAUUUAAAGAAAGCGUAAUAGCUCACUGGUCGAGUCGGCCUGCGCGGAAGAUGUAACGGGGCUAAACCAUGCACCGAAGCUGCGGCAGCGACACUGUGUGUUGUUGGGUAGGGGAGCGUUCUGUAAGCCUGUGAAGGUGUGUCGUGAGGCAUGCUGGAGGUAUCAGAAGUGCGAAUGCUGACAUAAGUAACGAUAAAGCGGGUGAAAAGCCCGCUCGCCGGAAGACCA
rnacentral:rRNA from 1 species